AUUUAUAAAAGUUAGAACAUUUGAGUAAAUUAUUUUAAAUUAAUAUUUCAAGUAUAUUGUUGCGUAUGACACAAUUUAAUAAUUUGGAAAAGAAUUAUGGGUUUUUCAUCAAUUAUUACUUUAAUUAUUGUAUUAUGUGUUUCACGCUAUGUCUAUGUUACACCGCUCAAAAAAAGUCUGGCAUGUA